UAGCAAAGGAGGAACAGCAUGAUGGAUAAGCUGCCUGGGAUCUGAUAAGCCAGGGCUCUAAUUUGGCUCACCUACUUUCUGGCUGUGGGAUGAGGCUUAGGAUGAAUUACCUAAGUUCUCUAAGCUUUAGUGUCUUAUCUGUAAAUGGGUAUGUUGGAAGACUUAAGCAAGUUGGGUUCUGAGAAGGGCCCUGUGCAGGGCCGAGUACAAAAAUCAGAUGAACAUCUGCUUCUGGCCACCAUGAUGUAACAAGUACCAGAUUGACCGCUGAGACUUAAAACACUAAAAAACUUAAGGAAAACCUAUGAACCGAUGGCUUCCACAUUGGGCAAUAGGCAGCUUGAGAAAGUCAUCCCCGUGACAGGAGAGAGCUGAGAGAGAUGAAAUCUGGAGCAUUUGGGCAGGAAGACCCAGGAAUAGCUCAGAGAAGUCAGUGAAGCUGGUUCCUGACCGAUGCGGGAGAGCUGACAGGGGAGAGCUGUCCAGCAGAAGAAACCGCAAGUGCCAUGGGGCUCCAUCAGUCCUCUCCCUGUCUGCUGGGCUGCCGUGAGCAUGCAGUUGGAAGGCUCCUUCUGAAGGUGGAAAGUGGCGGGGUCUGAAAAUGGAACAGACAGCAAAUAAAUGCACAAACCUCUGUUUAUGUUUUUAUCAGUAA